ensembl:lncRNA
ACCUGAACUAGCUAAUCUAGAUAAUUACAGACAGGUGUGUUGGAGCAGUGUUGGAACUGAAGUCUGCAGGAUGGUGGCUCUCCAGGAGAACGGUUGGAGAUUCCUGUUUUAUUUGAUAUAAGGCAAAAAUAGAAACAAAAUUUCAUCAUUUACCAACACGCGUCAUGCUAAACCUAAUCUCACGUAGCCAGAACUUCAGACUGAUGGCAGAAAGUCUGGGAGUCAUGGAUGCUUUGAAUGGCCAAGGACCACCCAAGUGACCAUAUGAUUGACAGUGCCUGAGGUACUCAAUGCAGAGAUCAAAGUGACAUUUAAAAUGCCCUGCAGGCAGCCAUGGGCAGGGAGAUGUCACACAACUGCGAGAGAAUGACAGCGAGAGAUUGUCACAGAUACAGACUAAAACGAAUGAGGGAGACAGACCAGAAGAGUAAAGAAAGGUGGAAGUUUUUUUUUUUUUUUUGCAUUUGCAUUUGCAUUUUGCUUUUUUACUUAAAUUUAUAUAUUCAGGAUUGUGGACAUCCCUAUAUAUAUAUAGGGAUGUAUGUAUAAUUCACUUUAUUAAUGUAUAUACACUAUUUGAUAUUGUUAGCAGAUUAACUAAAGUUAAACAAGUGACAGUUGUU